rnacentral:misc_RNA from 1 species
UCUCCGUUGGUGAACCAGCGGAGGGAUCAUUAAAGAGUUCUAUAGCUCCCAAACCCAUGUGAACAUACCUUACGUUGCCUCGGCAGGUCGCGCCUACCCCGUAACGUCCUACCCUGUAGGACCUACCCGGUAGACGCGGGUAAGCCUGCCGGCGGCCCACGAAACUCUGUUUAAUAUUGAAUUCUGAACCUAAAACUAAAUAAGUUAAAACUUUCAACAACGGAUCUCUUGGUUCUG